UAGGGAAUCUUCCGCAAUGGACGCAAGUCUGACGGAGCAACGCCGCGUGAGUGAAGAAGGAUUUCGGUUCGUAAAACUCUGUUGUUAGAGAAGAACAGCGCAUAGAGUAACUGUUAUGCGUGUGACGGUAUCUAACCAGAAAGCCACGGCUAACUACGUGCCAGCAGCCGCGGUAAUACGUAGGUGGCAAGCGUUGUCCGGAUUUAUUGGGCGUAAAGCGAGCGCAGGCGGUCAAUUAAGUCUGAUGUGAAAGCCCCCGGCUCAACCGGGGAGGGUCAUUGGAAACUGGUUGACUUGAGUGCAGAAGAGGAGAGUGGAAUUCCAUGUGUAGCGGUGAAAUGCGUAGAUAUAUGGAGGAACACCAGUGGCGAAGGCGACUCUCUGGUCUGUAACUGACGCUGAGGCUCGAAAGCGUGGGUAGCAAACA
rnacentral:rRNA from 2 species